rnacentral:rRNA from 1 species
UACGAAGGGGGCUAGCGUUGCUCGGAAUUACUGGGCGUAAAGGGCGCGUAGGCGGAUAUUUAAGUUAGAGGUGAAAGCCCAGGGCUCAACCCUGGAAUAGCCUUUAAUACUGGAUAUCUUGAGUUCGGGAGAGGUGAGUGGAACUCCGAGUGUAGAGGUGAAAUUCGUAGAUAUUGGGAAGAACACCGGUGGCGAAGGCGGCCAUCUGGACCGCAACUGACGCUGAGGCGCGAAAGCGUGGGGAGCAAACAGG